rnacentral:lncRNA from 1 species
UCCCUCAUUAAUUGAGGUGGCAGAUCAAGUGGACACAAACGCGCGUUCCACAAUAGACCUAAGUCAAUGCGCUGCAGGGAUGGUAAUUAAAACCAACGCGUGAGAUUAAAACAUUUCAAAUGAGAUCAAUGGCUCAGAACCUGUCCAGCACAUCACCGGCGCUGGACCUCUGGUCACCUUCUCAGGCGAGGUUCACCGGACUGAUU